GUAAUGCAUCGAUUUAGCCAUGCUAGUUGCACGAGUUCAGACUCGUAGCAGAUAGCUCAGUAACACGUGGCCAAACUACCCUAUGGAUCCGAAUAACCUCGGGAAACUGAGGCUAAUGCGGAAUAGCGUUCAUCGCCUGGAGUGGCACGAACGCGAAACGUUACGGCGCCAUAGGAUGUGGCUGCGGCCGAUUAGGUAGACGGUGGGGUAACGGCCCACCGUGCCCAUAAUCGGUACGGGUUGUGAGAGCAAGAGCCCGGAGACGGUAUCUGAGACAAGAUACCGGGCCCUACGGGGCGCAGCAGGCGCGAAACCUUUACACUGCACGCGAGUGCGAUAAGGGGACUCCGAGUGCGAGGGCAUAUAGUCCUCGCUUUUCACGACCGUAAGGUGGUCGUAGAAUAAGUGCUGGGCAAGACCGGUGCCAGCCGCCGCGGUAAUACCGGCAGCACGAGUGAUGACCGCUAUUAUUGGGCCUAAAGCGUCCGUAGCUGGCCACGCAAGUCUAUCGGGAAAUCCGCGCGCUUAACGCGCGGGCGUCCGGUGGAAACUGCGUGGCUUGGGACCGGAAGACCAGAGGGGUACGUCCGGGGUAGGAGUGAAAUCCCGUAAUCCUGGACGGACCACCGGUGGCGAAAGCGCCUCUGGAAGACGGAUCCG
rnacentral:rRNA from 1 species